rnacentral:rRNA from 1 species
UACCAGACUCCUACGGGAGGCAGCAGUGGGGGAUAUUGCACAAUGGGGGAAACCCUGAUGCAGCGACGCCGCGUGGGUGAGGAAGUAUUUCGGUAUGUAAAGCCCUCUCAGCAGGGAGGAAGAUGACAGUACCUGACUAAGAAGCCCCGGCUAACUACGUGCCAGCAGCCGCGGUAAUACGUAGGGGGCAAGCGUUAUCCGGAUUUACUGGGUGUAAAGGGGGCGCAGACGGCGAUGCAAGCCAGGAGUGAAAGCCCGGGGCCCAGCCCCGGGCCUGCUCUUGGAACUGCGUGGCUAGAGUGCAGGAGGGGCAGGCGGAAUUCCUGGUGUAGCGGUGAAAUGCGUAGAUAUCAGGAGGAACACCGGUGGCGAAGGCGGCCUGCUGGACGGCAACUGACGUUGAGGCCCGAAAGCGUGGGGAGCAAACAGGAUUAGAUACCCCCGUAAAA